UACGGAGGGUGCGAGCGUUGUCCGGAUUUAUUGGGUUUAAAGGGUGCGUAGGCGGCCCCUUAAGUCAGCGGUGAAAGCCCGGGGCUCAACCCCGGAACCGCCGUUGAUACUGGGGGGCUUGAGUAUGGACGAGGUUGGCGGAAUUGAGGGUGUAGCGGUGAAAUGCAUAGAUACCACCAAGAACCCCGAUUGCGUAGGCAGCUCGCUAGGCCGAAACUGACGCUGAGGCACGAAAGCGUGGGGAGCGAACAGG
rnacentral:rRNA from 1 species